rnacentral:lncRNA from 7 species
GGGUAUCUUGCUGGAGAUCUCUGCAUGCCUGAGGCAUUUUGAAGGAUGUACAGCAUAAUCAAUGCCCAAGGGAAAGCCAAGAGAACAGCUGGAGCCUUGCUCAGAGUGGGAGAGCUCCAUUCUGUGAAAGUCAUGUUGAAGAGAGAAGAACAUGGAAGCCAGCUCACAAAAGAGGUGGGAGGGUCUGUGAGUCAGGCUUUGCAAGCCUGGGCUCUCUGCUUGUGUGAAGCAGAGCCUCGUGUCCAGCUCACAGGGUUCAGGAGGCCCUGCCUUCCAGAGGACAUUUUUUUACAUGGCUGUUCUAAAUGGUAGAUGAGAUAAAUGACUAUAGCUACAAGUUUUGUUUUAUUUCUAUGGGACUUGGCAGUAGAAUAGGAAAUCUGUACCAUAAAUUAAAAACAAAACCAAAAGACAAUCAACAGGAAAAAAAAUUUGACCUUUCUUUGAGUGCUGUUUAGGCUUCCAAAAUUGCAUCAGCCCAAGUUUGUGGCUUAUUAUGUGGGCUCCUCUUGAUAACUUCUGAAACUUCAUCCAAAUGACCUCUUCAGAUCCUGGGUGGAGUAACAGUAAUAUGAUGUAACAGACCUGAGGUCAGCGCAUCUCCUCCCAGUGUGUGGUCUGUGAAUAAUAUCUGGGCCUGUGGGUCCUAGAAGCAGUGAUCUCUUUGUGAAAGAAU